rnacentral:rRNA from 1 species
AGAAUUUGAUCUUGGUUCAGACUGAACGCUAACGGCGUGGAUGAGACAUGCAAGUCGAACGAAAUGUAAGGGCAACUUUACAUUUAGUGGCGAAAGGGUUAGUAAGACGUGAGUAAUCUACCUUUUACCUCGGAAUAACGAUUGGAAACGAUCGCUAAUACCGGAUGAGGUAUUCAUUCAAAAGAGUGAAUAUCAAAGUAGGGGACCUUGAAAGAGGCCUGGCGGUAAGAGAAGAGCUCAUGUAGUAUCAGCUAGUUGGUGAGGUAAGAGCUCACCAAGGCUAUGACGCUUAGGCGGAUUGAGAGAUUGACCGCCAACACUGGGACUGAGACACUGCCCAGACUCCUACGGGAGGCAGCAGUCGAGAAUAUUUCGCAAUGGGCGAAAGCCUGACGAAGCGACGCCGUGUGAACGAUGAAGGCCUUCGGGUUGUAAAGUUCUGUUGCCUGAGAACAAGAGUAGAUAAUGAAUAAUUAUGUACAAUGAGUGUAUCAGGAGAGAAAGCACCGGCUAAUUCCGUGCCAGCAGCUGCGGUAAUACGGAAGGUGCAAGCGUUAGUCGGAAUUACUGGGCGUAAAGGGUGCGUAGGCGGAAACAAACGUCAGAUGUGAAAUUACGGGGCUCAACCUCGUAGCUGCAUCUGAAACGGCGUUUCUUGAGGAUUGGUGGAGAGAAUAGAAUUCCAUGUGUAGCGGUGAAAUGCGUAGAUAUAUGGAAGAAUACCUGUGGCGAAAGCGAUUCUCUAACCUUCUCCUGGCGCUGAGGCACGAGAGCAAGGGGAGCAAACAGGAUUAGAUACCCUGGUAGUCCUUGCCGUAAACAAUGAACACUUGAUGUAGAUGGGCUCAACCCCAUUUGUGUCGUAGCUAACGCGAUAAGUGUUCCGCCUGGGGAGUACGCCCGCAAGGGUGAAACUCAAAAGAAUUGACGGGGACCCGCACAAGCAGUGGAGCAUGUGGUUUAAUUCGAUGCAACGCGAAGAACCUUACCUGGGCUUGACAUGGACAGGACGACAUCAGAGAUGGUGUUUCUCCGCAAGGAGCCUGUUCACAGGUGCUGCAUGGCUGUCGUCAGCUCGUGCCGUGAGGUGUUGGGUUAAGUCCCGCAGAUGACGCAACCCUUGUCGUUAGUUGCCAGCGCGUAAUGGCGGGCACUCUAGCGAGACUGCCUCGGUUAACGAGGAGGAAGGUGAGGAUGACGUCAAGUCAGCAUGGCCCUUAUGCCCAGGGCUACACACGUGCUACAAUGGUCGGUACAAAAGGCAGCGAAGUCGUGAGAUGGAGCAAAUCCCAAAAACCGGCCCCAGUUCAGAUUGUAGUCUGCAACUCGACUACAUGAAGUUGGAAUUGCUAGUAAUGGCGAGUCAGCAACAUCGCCGUGAAUACGUUCCCGGGUCUUGUACACACCGCCCGUCAAGUCACGGGAGUUGGUUUUGCCCGAAGUCGUUCACCCAACCGCAAGGAGGGAGACGCCUAAGGUGAGGCUGAUGACUGGGACUAAGUCGUAACAAGGUAGCCCUACUGGAAAGUGGGGCUGGAUCACCU